rnacentral:rRNA from 1 species
AUACGGAGGGUGCGAGCGUUAAUCGGAAUUACUGGGCGUAAAGCGUACGCAGGUGGCUAGGUCAGUCGGAUGUGAAAGCCCUGGGCUUAACCUGGGAAUUGCAUUCGAUACUGCCUGGCUAGAGUAUGGGAGAGGGAAGUGGAAUUCCCGGUGUAGCGGUGAAAUACGUAGAUAUCGGGAGGAACACCAGUGGCGAAGGCGGCUUCCUGGCCCAAUACUGACACUCAUGUACGAAAGCGUGGGGAGCAAACAGGAUUAGAAACCCCGGUAGUCC